GGCCUCUCUGGGUCGAACCUGGAGAGUUUCCAGUAUUCUACAAGUCUUGACUAUGAGAGGGAGAGUCAGGCAGAGGCAGAUCCAUUCCAUUCCUGGCUUGGUCAGUGGCUAGCGAGUGGAAGGCAAUCUGCUACAAGU
rfam:Ornithorhynchus anatinus chromosome 4, whole genome shotgun sequence.